UAAUGAAGAUGAAAAAUGGAACUGCGCGAACAGUUCCCUUUUGACAGCACCGUUUAAGAAGGUGGCUCAGUUUAAAAAUAGUUACAA
rnacentral:sRNA from 1 species